AGCGGCGGACGGGUUAGUAACGCGUGGGAACGUACCCUUCUCUAAGGAAUAGCCACUGGAAACGGUGAGUAAUACCUUAUACGCCCUUCGGGGGAAAGAUUUAUCGGAGAAGGAUCGGCCCGCGUAAGAUUAGAUAGUUGGUGGGGUAAUGGCCUACCAAGUCUACGAUCUUUAGCUGGUUUUAGAGGAUGAUCAGCAACACUGGGACUGAGACACGGCCCAGACUCCUACGGGAGGCAGCAGUGGGGAAUCUUAGACAAUGGGCGCAAGCCUGAUCUAGCCAUGCCGCGUGUGUGACGAAGGCCUUAGGGUCGUAAAGCACUUUCGCCUGUGAUGAUAAUGACAGUAGCAGGUAAAGAAACCCCGGCUAACUCCGUGCCAGCAGCCGCGGUAAUACGGAGGGGGUUAGCGUUGUUCGGAAUUACUGGGCGUAAAGCGCACGUAGGCGGAUUGGAAAGUAUGGGGUGAAAUCCCAGGGCUCAACCCUGGAACUGCCUCAUAAACUUCCAGUCUAGAGUUCGAGAGAGGUGAGUGGAAUUCCGAGUGUAGAGGUGAAAUUCGUAGAUAUUCGGAGGAACACCAGUGGCGAACGCGGCUCACUGGCUCGAUACUGACGCUGAGGUGCGAAAGUGUGGGGAGCAAACAGGAUUAGAUACCCUGGUAGUCCACACCGA
rnacentral:rRNA from 1 species